GACGAACGCUGGCGGCGCGCUUAACACAUGCAAGUCGAGCGGGAACCGGGCCUUCGGGCCCGGGGACAGCGGCGAACGGGUGAGUAACACGUGGGUAAUCUGCCCUCGGUACUGGGAGAGCCCGGGGAAACCCGGAUUAAUACCGGAUAGCCCUUCGAGCCUUCGGGCUCGCAGGAAAAGGUAGCUUCGGCCUCCGACCGAGGAUGAGCCCGCUGCGGAUUGGCUAGUUGGUGGGGUAAAGGCCUACCAAGGCGAUGAUCCGUAGCUGGUCUGAGAGGAUGGCCAGCCACACUGGGACUGAGACACGGCCCAGACUCCUACGGGAGGCAGCAGUGGGGAAUAUUGGACAAUGGGGGCAACCCUGAUCCAGCAAUGCCGCGUGAGUGAAGAAGGCCUUCGGGUUGUAAAGCUCUUUAGUGGGGGAGGAAGCGCACGCAUGAAUAGUGGGUGUGGUUGACGGUACCCCAAGAAUAAGCACCGGCUAACUCUGUGCCAGCCGCCGCCGUAA
rnacentral:rRNA from 1 species